GGCCAGGGUACGAACGAGAAAGGCGAAUACGGAAUCCGUCAAGUAAGAGCGGUGCCCGAUCAACCCGAUCUGGGGUUCGGUGCAAGAUAUGGAUAAUCUUCCUCCUUCUUCACCUAUGCCGAAUUAAAUCAUUCAAUCCCUGAGAUUCACUCCGACAGCCAGCCAAAAGAUCUGCUCUUAACACCUAGAGAUUUCCUGAGGAGUUCCUGGUCGUCUUGGAGUACGAUCAAAGAAAGCAUGGAUAGAAUAGAGCCGUGGCAGAGUGGAAGGCGGGGUCACUGAUCUUUAAAGGAGUGCGGAUUCAGUAUUUUUGCCCGGUUCCGGGGAGAAGGGGCAAUUGUUGAACCCCUUGCCUCGCCUUUUCUAGCCUCUUAAAUAGAGGACCUUUCAUUGCGCAUUCCUGCAAUCGAGCUGGCCAAUGCGGAGAUUCCUUAGGCCUUCCAAUCAGAAUUGUCUUGCUUAUCAUACGAGAUUUCUCCACCAUCUUUUAUCUUAUUUAAAGAAAUGUUAAUUCUAUUUUUUUCUUGAUCAGUGAUUCGGCAUGUUGGAGUCUCUCACCCUAGAGGCUAGGCUAGGUUCUCGUGCUAUUCUUCUAUAGAAUAGUAAAAUCUCGGGAAAUCCAAUGUCGGCUGUUGACCUGCUCUACCCGUGCAACUGCCAAUCCAUGAGUCCCGGGUGCAAUGAUGAGGACGAUCGCCCAAUGCUUUCUUGCUUCGGGGCUGCCUCCGAUCCUUGCUAAGUAGAAGACGUGGUACUGGACUGGCGGUACUGGUGGUUUCCUUUGCUUCCGAAGCCUCAGGAGAAGAAGAAAUCUCGUAUGAGAAGACCCUCAGAAAUGGUCCGAUGAUAGAAAUGGUCAGGAAAGAAUGCUCUAGCCGUUAGCCGUUGCGUGACUUAGCUGCGCGCUGCACACAGCCUUUGCCCUACCAGUAGCAUGCAGCUCCUAUGGCUUCCUAUGUACCGGUUUUUGGUCAGGACAAGAAGAACGUCAUGCUCAGCUUUUGAGAAGACCUCUGAGAAGGCCUGUUUUGCCCCUAAUCUAAUAAACCUACCCGCGAGUUCGCAUGAAGAAUCGGAAUCGGAAUCGGAAGAGGAAUCGGAAGAAGUGCGAUUAUUCUAUAGAAUAUUUGCCAAUCCUAUCCAUUCCCAUGUCGACCUGUUGAUCGCCCCUUCAGCCUUUUAUGAAUAUUCAUUCCGGGGUUCCAAGGUUCAACUACUUUGUAGCGUUGGAGAGGGGAAGGCCUUUCGGGCGCAGAGGUUAGACUAGACGACUGCUCUGAGGAUACGCGGUGAAGGCGGGUUACGAAGUGCUACUUAGUGGGUGUUCGCUUCGUGGAAUGGUACUGGAUCGCCUAUUCUUAAAGAGUCCCGCCUCUUAAAGUGGAUUGAUCCCCAUGCUCUUGAUCUGAGGUGCUUGAGAAGUCUCACUGGGUUUCAAAGCAGACGUUGGGGUAAGGGUCCCAGAAGCUUGAAUGCCACCAACAAGAGAUUGUGAAGAAGGAGCCAAUGGAGUCCAAGGAAUUGGAAGACUAGUAUGAUGAGCAGCCUUUACAACAAAUUAUUUAGUGCGGUCAAAGCUCGCUCCUUCCUCAAAUCCGGGGAUGAUUCACUUUCGGAGCUCUUGUCCGGACUCUUUAGGGGAAAUUAAGAUAAAUUGCCCGGCUCUUUCCUAAUUUCAAAUUCCCAUUGCCUUAGCCCUAUCUAUGAUGAGGUAGGGUCUUUGACGGCGGGUUAGGCUUGGUUUUGAUUGGGGUGAAAGGCGGCUACAGAGUCACGUAGUAG